GAAGGAGAAGCUCAGGAACAUGAAGGAAAGCUCUUAUUCAAAUCAGAAACAUCUGACAAAAUAACAGAGAAGAGAAAUGGCCAAGAAGGUGUAAUCCAGGCACCAUGGAGGCAACUCUUUAAGCAGCACAGGAGGAAGCAGAAGUAUCAGCUGGAAUGCUCUACAGGAUGAAUUGUGCUUGUAGAGCAGAGCACAGCAAAGACCUGCGGUGUGUAACAGCCCUGCAUAGACUGAGCUGCUGGCCCUGUGAAGGUGGACACACAUCUGGAAUAUCACACACCAUCAGGAGCAUUUUCCAGUUCAACAGAGGACGGAACAGGCACUCCACGGCUGAGCCCACGCGCAGGGCACCACACCAAGACACA